UACGUAGGGGGCGAGCGUUGUCCGGAUUCAUUGGGCGUAAAGAGCUCGUAGGCGGCUUGGCAAGUCGGGUGUGAAACCUCCAGGCUCAACCUGGAGACGCCACCCGAUACUGCCAUGGCUAGAGUCCGGUAGGGGACCACGGAAUUCCUGGCGUAGCGGUGAAAUGCUUAGAUAUCGGGUGGAACACCAGUGGCGAAGGCGCUGCUCUGGGCCGGUACUGACGCUGAGGAGCGAAAGCGUGGGUAGCAAACAGG
rnacentral:rRNA from 1 species